AAAUUUCAGCACCUGUGUUAUUUUGGUAUUGGAUGUUACAUUCAUGGCUGCAUGUGCAGAACAUGUACUAUGAAGUUAUUGCAGGUGCUCUCCAUUUAAACAUCUCUAUAUGUUACACCGCUGUGAAUUCAAUGGAAUUGAGUGCUGGGAGAUCAGUAUAACUGGAGGAUUAUAGGCUUUGAGCAAAUGACUGAGUGACUGCAAGAAAACACAAGCUGUGGGAUUUUUACCCAUGAAUUCUCCGGAAGGUGGAAGUCUCAAUCUUCCUACAGCUGUCUAGGGAGAGAGAAAGUAGAUGCAUCUUGCCUGGAUGUCUAGACUGGAUGGAGACGCAAUAUGCUGCCUGACCUGCGAGUUCCUCCAGCAUUUUGUGUUUAAUGCCUCAUACUUGCUCAAGAUUACCAGCACCUGCAGGAUCUCUUGCAUUAGCUGGUAUAUCAAGAAGUAGAAGUACCCUGGGGGCUUAUUUUUUCACCGAGAAGAUGGAACAAGAUGCCUGAGGAAGCUUUUGAGACAGGCAUAUUGCAUCUUCUGUGGAUGCCUGCGGAAGUCUCUAAAUGGGAGAGGAUCCCAGAAGCAGUUAUCACAGGAGUGCAAGAAGGUGCAGGAAGAGCAGCUGCUGUAGGGCCUCACUGACUGAGAGAAUACAGAGAAGUCUGCUCUGCUCAGCUCCACCCAGACCCCAGAUGUUGUGACUUCAGGGCUGGGGUGAGGUUGGGGGAGAAGGUGCCUGGAAAUGCCCUGUGCCAACAGCCCCACAUGAGAUACUAAAUCUAUCCCCAUCACCCUGCCAGUUUCCCAAAUGCUCAUUUCUAUGUAAGAGGCGUCAAUACCCCAAGGUGGUCCAAUAUUUUAGUUUCUAAUUCAAACCCCUUAUUGUGCCUUAAACUUCUCGAUUUGCAGCAAGUGAGGACUAUUCCACCCGAUUGACUGCUUUGAUCUGAUGAUGAUUGUUGCUGGAUUCCCUACAGAAUGAUGUGCCUGUUGGGUUUCCCAAGGGAAAAUCCAUGGCACACCAACGAACCUAAUUAAUCGUUGAAUUUACUAAAUCUCAGACAAAUUUCUGAAGCAGCUUCAGCCUGCCUGGCACUUUAAAUGCUGCAGUAGAUUUAAUCUUACAGGGUCAGGCUAAUGUGCAGAAAGGAAACAGAGUGACAGCAUGAAUUAAAUGGAAGAGGAUAAGAUCAGCUCAGAUGUUUCUGCAGCAGGCUGCACAAAUUGAAUGCUUUACUCCACAUGCUUUUACCACCUGCAUACUUCUAGAAUAUGUUAAAAUGCAGUUUGAGUUUUGCAACUAUUAUCAUCUUAAAUUAGAGGGGUGGGUGUGGGUGUGUGGGAUGGAUGUUGGUAUUGUGUUAGUUAUUGGCAUUGAUGUAAAAAUAGUGAGAGUUGGAAGGGAAAAAUAAACAAAAAUAAGGAAAGAAUGGGAUAAAAAUCAGAAAAUGAUGGAAACCAUUAGCAGGAAAGGCAAUGUCUGUGAAGAAACAGAACUAAUAUCUCAAGCUGAUAACUCUUCUUCCAAAUUAAAACAAAGGUAAAAUUGUGCCAUCUUGCAAUUAGCCAAAUUGAAUUCGAGUUGCUAUAAUUGGAAAGAAUGAUUCUGCUGCUUCAGAUCAUUAAUUCUUUGGAACACUGAAUCACAUGACAGCCUAUGCAGUUAAAUUAAAAUAGUUGGGAAAACAAUGACUUGUAUCAGUAACAAUAUUGUCAAAAUAGCUCCACUUAGUACUUUGCAAAUCAGUUACAUUCUGUUUUUGAAAAUAAAAAGUAAUGAAAAGAAAGUGUAUCUAUUUCCUAAACAAAAUCUUUCACUGUCAUUAACACAUUGCUAAAAAAUGUUAUGGGCAUUCCAUUCUCCCAGUUCUUCCAGGUCUGUUACGUUUUUUCUGAUGAAGAAAUCUUCCGCACUGGUGCAUCCAAAAUGUCUUAUUUUCUCCUUAAGUAUGUCCACUCCUCUACCACAGUUAACAAGGCUAUCAUCAUCAUCCAUGGUUCUGUUCUUUGUUCUCUUCUCCCACUCAAGACAAGGAUAAGGUUCCCCUUGUUCUCACCAUAAGGUCAUAAGACCAUAAAACAUAGGAGUAGAAUUUGGCUAUUUGGCCCAUCGAGUCUGCCCCACGAUUUCCUCAUGGCCGAUCCAUCUCUCUCUCAACCAUAUUCUCCUGCCUUCUUCCCAUAACUUUUUACACCCUAUCUAAUCAAGUACCUAUCAUAACCUACCUGCCUGCCUUAAAUGCACCCAAUGACCUGGCCUCCACAGCCACAUAUGGCAAUGAAUUCCACAGAUCCACCAGUCACUGGCUGAAGAAACUUCUCCUCAUCUCUCUUCUAAAUGGGUGUACCUCUAUUCUGAGGUUAUGCCCUCUGGUUCUAGACUCCCCCUUUCAGCAUCGUCUCCACAUCCACUCUAUCUCGGCCUUUCACCAUUCAACAGAUUUCAAUGAGAUUUCCCCUCAUUCUUCAAAUACAGGCCCAGAGCUAUCAAACGCUCCUCAUAUGAUAAGCUUUUCAAUCACUUAAUCAUUUUCAUGAACAACCUUUGAACUCUCUCAAAUAUCAGCAGAUCUUUUCUUAAAUAAGUGGCCCAAACUGCUCACAAUACUCAAAGUGAGGCCUCAACAGUGCCUUAUAAAGCUUCAACGUUACAUCCUUGCCUUUAUAUUCUAGCCCUCUCAAAAUGAAUGCAAACCUUGUAUUUGCCUUCCUUACCACCGUCUCAAACUGCAAAUUGAUCUUUAGGGAAUCCUGCACGAGGACUUCCGAGUCCCUUUGCACCUUGGAUUUUAGAAUGUUCUCCACAUUUAGAAGAUAGUCUAUGCUUUUAUUCCUUCUGAAAAACUGCAUGACCAUACACUUCCUGCCAUCUGCCACUUCUUUGCCUAUUCUCUGAAUCUGUCCAAGUCCUUCUGCAGCCUCCCUACUUCCUCAACACUACCUGCCCAUCCACCUAUCUUGGUAUCGUCUACAAACUUGGCCACAAAGCCAGCAAUUCUAUCAUCCAAAUCAAUGACAUUAACAUAAAAAGAAAUGGUUCCCACACCGAGCCCUCAGAACCGCUAGACACCAUCAGCCAAUCAAAAACAGCUCCCUUUAUUCCCACCCUUUGCCUCCUGCCAAUCAGCCAAUGGUCAAUCUAUGCUCGUAUCUUUCCUGUAAUACCGUAGGCUUUUGACUUGUUAAGCAGCCUCAUGUGCGGCACCUUGUCAAAGGUCUACUGAAAAUCCAAGUACACAACAUUGAUCAAUUCUCCUUUGUUUAUCCUGCUUCAUAUUUCCUCAAAUAAUUUUAACAGAUUUGUCAGACAAGAUUUUCCUUGAAGUAAACCUUGCUGACUUUGGACUAUUUUAUCGCAUGCCUCUGAGUACUCCAAAACCACAUCCUUAACAAUCACCUCCACCAUUUUCCUAACCACUGAGGUCAGACUAACUGGCCUAAAACUUCCUUUUUUUCUGUCUUCCUCCCUUCUUGAAGAGUGGAGUGACAUUUGCAAAUUUGUAGUCUUCUGGAACCACUCCAGAAUCCAGUGAUUAUUGAAAGUCAUUACUAGUGCCUCCACAAUCUCUUCAUCAACCUCUUUCAGAACCCUGGGGUGUAGUCCAUCUGGUUCAGGCGACGAAACCACCUUCAGACAUUUUGGUUUUCCAAGCACCUUCUCCCUAGUAAUAGCAACUGCACUCACUUCUGCCACCGGACAAUCUUGAACUUCUGACAUACUGCUUGUGUCUUCCUCAGUGAAGACUGAUGCAAAAUGCUUAUUUAGUUCAUCCACAAUUUCCUUGUCCACGAUUUUGUCCUCUCCAGCAUUUUUUUCCAGUGGUUCAAUAUCUACUCUCACCUCUCUUUUACUCUUUAUAUAUCUGAAAAAAAAACUUCUGGUGUCCUCUUCAAUAUUGUUGGCUAGCUUACCUUCAUAUUUCAUCAUUUCCCCCCAUGGCUUUUUUCAUUGCCUUAAGUUGAUUUUUAAAAGUUUCCCAAUACUCUAACUUCUCACUAACCUUUGCUCUAUUAUAUGCCCUCUCUUGUGGUUUUAUGUUAGCUUUGACUUCCCUUGUCAGUCAAGGUUGCAUCAUCCUGCAUUUAGAAUACUUCUUCUUCUUUGGGAUAUAUCUAUCCUGCACCUUCCGAAUUGCUCCCGGAAACUCCAGCCACUGCUGUCCCUGCUAGCGUCCUCUUCCAAUCAGCUUUGUCCAGCUCCUCUCUCAUACCUCUGUAAUUCCCUUUUACUCCACUGUAAUACUGACAGAUCUGACUUUAGCGUCUCCUUCUCAAAUUCCAGGGUGAAUUCUAUCAUAUUAUGAUCACUGCCUCCUAAGGUUUCCUUUAUCUUAAGCUCCCUGAUCAAAUCCGGUUCAUUAUACAACACCCAAUCCAGAAUAGCUGAUCCUCUAGUGGGCUCAACAACAAGCUGCUCUAAAAAACCAUCUUGUGGGCAUUCAACAAAUUCUCUUUCUUGGGAUCCAAAAUCAGCACCAAUCUGAUUUUCCCAAUCUAUUUGCAUAUUGAAAUCUCUCAUGAAUACUGUAACAUUGACCUUUUGACAUGCCUUUUCUAUCUCCCAUUGUAAUUUGUAGCCCAGAUCCUGGCUACUGUUCGGAGGCCUAUAUGUAAUGCCCAUCAGGGUCUUUUUACCCUUGCUGUUUCUUAACACUAGCCACAAGGGUUCUACAUCUUCCAAACCUAUGUUACCUCUUUGUAAGGAUUUGAUUGUCUUUUUUUUCAACAGAGUCACACCACCCCCUCUGCCUACCUGCCUGUCCUUUUGAUACAAUGUGUAUCAUUGGAUGCUAAGCUCCCAACCAUGAUCUUCUUUCAGCCACGCCUCAGUGAUGCCACAUUGUUACACCUGCCCAUCUCUAGCUGCACUAUAAGGUCAUCUACCUUGUUCAUAUACUGCUUGCAUUCGAAUAUACCAUCUUCAGUCCUGUAUCCGUCACCCUUUUUGAUUUUGUCCUCCUUUUACACUGCAACUUAUCCCUCUGACUGCAAUUUUGCCUUUUCAUCUGCCUGCCCUUCCUGCCAGUCUCACUACCAACAGUCCUAUCCUCAGCCCUAUCACUCUGAUUCCCAUCCCCUUGCCAAAUUAGUUUAAACCCUCCCCAACAGCUCUAGCAAACCUGCCUGCAAAGAUAUUGGUCCCUCUUUGGUUCAGGUGUAACCGGUCCCUUUUGUACAGAUCAUACCUUCCCCAGAAGAGAUCCCAAUGAUCCAGAAAUCUGAAAUCCUUCUCCCUGCACCAGUUUCUCAACCUCACAUUCAUCUGCCAAAUCAUCCUAUUCUUACCCUCUCUGAUGCGUGGCACAGGCAGCAAUCCAGAGGUUACCACUCUGGAGAUCCUGCUUUUCAGCUUUCUUCCUAGCUCCCUAAGUCCUCUCUUCAGGACCUCCUCACCUUUCCUACCUAUGUCAUUGGUGCCAAUAUGUACCAAGACUUCUGGCUGCUCCCCCUCCCCCUUUAGAAUGUUGUGGACCUAACCUGAGACGUCCCUGACUCUAGCACCUCGGAGGCAACAUACCAUCUGGGUAUCUCUAUCGCGUCCACAUUGAGUCAUGUCUACUCCUCGAACUAUGGAAUCCCCGAUCAGUACUUCAAUCCUCUUUUUCUCCCUUCCCUUCCAAGCCACAGCGCUAGACUCAGUGUGAGAGACUACAUUGCUGUGGCUCCCCCCCCCCCACCCCUCCCAGGUUGUCCUCUCAACAGUAUCCAAAUGGUAUACUUAUUAUUUAGGGGAAUGGCAGCAGAGGUACUCUACUGGCUGCUCAUUUCCCUUCCCUCUCCUGACAGUUACCCAUUUUAACUACCUCAUGUAACUUAGGGCUGACUACCUCCUUGUAGCAUCUCUUCAGUUUCCUGCAUGAGCCGAAGGUCAUCAAGCUGCAGCUCCAGUUCCUUACUAUUUACUCUGAGGAGCUGCAGCUCGAUGCAUCUGGUGCAGAUGCAGAUGUGGCUAUCCUGGAGGUUGAUAUCUCCCAGAAUUUCCAUAUCUCACACAAAGAGCACAACACAGUCCUGAGAGGCAUUCUCCUUGUUCUAACUAUGUACUAACAGACAAAGAAUGAAGAAUAAAUAAGAAGAAACUUACCAGAUAUGUACCUUGCCCAAGGUUGAGGAGCUAAAGCCUCCCCACUCUAACACAGGCCCACUCACACAAUGGCCACUCCGUUUGUCCCUGCUUUAUUUAUAUUUGCUUUUGCUACAGUGUGAGGCCUCCUGCACUGAUUUGACUGUGACUGUGCUGCCAAAAUCCCGUGAAAGCUGCAAUAAUUAAUGGGUCACCCUCCGUAAUUUCUGCCACUUUAACGAGAUGCCACCACCAGAUCUAUGGUCAUCUCUUCAUUCAGCAUUCAAAUGGACAUCUCCUUGCCUCACCUUUCCACCUCAAACAGCAUUUGCUCCCUUCCUCAUGGCACUAUCCCAUACAAAUGCAGAUCAUUGUAUUAUAAAAUGGCAUUCUAAUCAGGAUUGUGUACAACUAGAGGUGAGCAAUGUUGGUCUUUCACCCCACAAUCAUUUGUGAAUUUAUGAUAUCUGGGGAAAAUUUAAUCUACAAACUUUGUAAUUUGGCAAGGGGAUUGGAACCAGAGUGACAGACUGAGGAUGGGGCAGUCGGUAUAUAACUAGAUGCAGUGUGUAGUGAGAUUGUGAGGAAAGACAGGCACAUGAUAGGACAAAAUUGUAGUCAGUUGCAUGUGUUAAAGUGUACAACAUUAUAUUGAAAGGAUAGGCAGGUCAUCAGAAGGGGUGGGGUGGCUCUAUUGAGAAAAAUGAAAUCAAAUCCUCUGAAAGAGGUGACAUAGGAUCAGAAGACAUAUAAUCCUUGUGGGUAGAGUUAAGAGACUGCAAGGGUAAAAGGACUCUGAUGGGAGUUAUAUACAGACCUUUAAACAGUAGCCAGGAUGUGGGCUACAAAUUACAAUGGGACAUAGAUAAGUCAUGGGGGGAUUUCAAUGUGCAGGUAGAUUGGAAAAAUUAGGUAGGUGCUGGAUUCCAAGAGAGGGAAUUUUCAGAGUGCCUACAGGACGGAUUUUUUGAGUAGCAUAUGGUUGAGUCCACUCGGGGAACAAUAAUUCUGGAUUGGGUGUUAUGUCAUGACCUAGACUUAAUUAGUGAGCUUAAGGUAAAGGAACCCUAAGGACAGAGUGAUCAUAAAUUGAUAGAAUUCACCCUGCAGUUUUAGAAGGAGAAGCUAAAAUUAGAUGUAUCAGUAUUACAGUGGAGUAAAGGGAAUUACAGAGGCAUAAGAAAGGAGCUGGUCAAGGUGGAUUGGAAGGGAACACUAGCAGGAGUGAUGCCAGAAGGACAAUGGCUGGAGUUUCUGGGAUCAAUUUGGAAGGACUGCAAUGAUACUGAAAGAUACUGAUCAACUGGCUAGUGUGUUCAUCAAUAUCAGUACCCACCUGCUUCACGCAGGCUUCAAUUAUACCGGUGCCCAAGAAGAGCAUGGUGACCUGCCUCAAUGACUAUUGUCCAGUUGCACUCACAUCCACAGUGAUGAAGUGCUUUGAGAGGUUGGUGAUGAAACACAUCAACUCCUGCCUGAGAAGCAACUUAGAUCAGCUCCAUUUUGCCUACUGGGGCAAUGGCUCCACAUCAGAUGCCAUUUCAUUGGCUCUUCACUUAAUCCUGGAACAUCUGGACAACAAAGAUGCAUACAUCAGGAUGCUCUUUAUUGACAGCAGCUCAACAUUCCAUACCAUCAUCCGCUCAAAGCUAAUUAACAAGCUCCAAGACCUUGGCCUCAAUACCUCCAUGUGCAAUUGGAUCCUGGAUUUCCUCACUGGCAGUCCCUAGUUAGUUCAGAUUGGCAAUAACAUCUCCUCCACAAUAUCCAUCAGCACAGGUACACCACAAAGCUGUUUGCUUAGCCCCCUGCUCUACUCACUUUACACUUAUGACUAUGUGGCUAAGCACAGUUCCAAUGCCAUAGUCAAGUUUGCUGACAAGACCACUGUCGUAGGCCGAACUAAAGGCGGUAACGAAUCAGCAUACAGGAGGGAGAUUGAAAACCUGGCUGAGUCGUGUCAUAUCAACAACCUCUCACUCAAUGUCAGCAAAACCAAGGAGCCGAUUAUAGACUUCAGGAGAAGAAAACCAGAGGUCCAUGAGCCAGUCCUCGUCAGAGGAUGAGAAGUGGAGAGGGUUAGCAACUUUAAAUUCCUGUAUGUAAUAAUUUCAGAGGACCUGUCCUGGGCCCUGCACAUAAGUGCAGUUACGAAGGAAGCAUGACAGUGUCUUUACUUCCUUAAGAGUUUGUGGCAAUUUGGCUUGACAUCUAAAACUUUGACAAACUUCUAUAGAUGUGUAUUGGAGAGUACAUUGACCAGCUGCAUCACAGUCUGGUAUGGAAACACCAAUGCCCUUGAAUGGAAAAUCCUACAAAAAGUGGUGGAUACAUCAUGGAUAAUGCCCUCCAACUGCUGAGCACACCUACAUGAAAUGCUAUUGCAGGAAAGCAGCAUCCUUCAUCAGGAACCUCCACCACCCAGGACAUGCUCUCUUCUUGCUGUUGUCAUCAGGAAGAAGGUACAAGAGCCUCAGAACUCACACCACUAGGAUCAGGAAAAGUUAUUACCCCUCAACCAUCAGUCUCUUAAACCAAAGGGAAUAACUUCACUCAACUUCACUUGCUCCCAUCAUUGAAAUGUUCUCACAGCCAAUGGGCUCACUUUUACGGACUCUUCAUCUCAUGCUCUAAUUAUUUAUUACCUAUUUAUUAUUAUUAUUAUUUCCUGUUUUUGUAUUUGCAAAGUUUGCUUUCUUCUGCACCUUGGUUGAACACCCUAGUUGGGUGAUCUUUCAUUGAUUCUGUUAUGUUCAUUAUUCUAUAGAUUUAUUGAGUAUGCCCACAGGAAAAUGAAUCUCAGGGUUGUAUGUGGUGACAUAUAUGUGCUUAGAUAAUAAAAUUUACUUUCAACUUUGAUACAUCCCAAAGAUGAUGAAGUAUUCUAAAGGGAGGAUGAGGCAACCAUGGCUGAGACGGGAAGUUAAAGACAGCAUAAAAGUAAAACAGAAGGGAUGUAAUAUAGCAAAAGAUUGAGGGAAGAUAGAGAAGUUUUUAAAAACCUACAGAAGGCACCAAAAAAAGUCAUAAAGAAAGAAAAGAUGAUAUAUGAAGGUGAGCUGGCCAAUAAUAUAAAAGAGGAUACAAAAACUUCUUUUGUUAUAUAAAGUAUGAAACAGAGAUGGGAAUGGAUAUUGGACCAUUGGAAAAUGACGCUGGAGAGGUAGUUAAUGGGAGGACAAAGAAAUAGCGGAUGAACUUAAUAAAUAUUUUGUGUCACUAACAGAAUGCCAGAAAUGCGAGAGCUUCGGGGCGGGGGGUGCAGAAUUGAGUGUUGUUACUGUUACUGAGGAGAAGGUGCUUGGGAAGCUGAAAAGUCAAGCUAACUGACCGAUAAUCUCCUUUCUUCUUCUGCUUUCACUUCUAAAAGAGUGGAGUGACAUUUGAAAUCUUACAGUCUUCCGAAGCCAUUCCAGAAUUUAGUGAUUAUUGAAAGAUCAGUACUAAUGCCUCCACCAUCUCUUCAGCUAGUUCUUUCAAACCCUGGGGUGUAGUCCAUCUGGUCUGACUUCACACCUUCUCUUUAGUAAUAGCAACAACACUCACUUCUGUCCCCUGACACUCUUGAUGUUCUGGCAUUCUGCUAGUGUCCUGCACAGUGAAGGCUAAUGCAAGAUACUUAUUGAGUUCUUCUGCCAGUUUUUUGUCCCCCAUUAGUCGCUCCAGCAUCAUUUUCCAGUGGUCCGAUAUCAAUUUUUGCCUCUCAUCUUGUGGGCUCAAACAAAAGCUGCUCUAAAAAGCCAUCUAGUAGCCAUUCUACAAAUUCCCUCUCUUGAGAUCCAGCACCAAGCUGAUCUUCCCAAACUACUUGCUUAUUGAAAUCCCCCAUGACUAUUGUAACUUUGCCCUUUUUACACACCCUUUUUUUUUACCCAUUGUAAUUUGCAGCCCAUAUCCUGGCUACUGUUUAGAGGCCUGUAUACAACUCCCAUCAGAGUCUUUUUACCCUUGCAGUUUCUUAACUCUAUCCACAAGGAUUCUACAUCUUUCAAUCCUAUGUCAGUUCUUUGUAAGGAUCUGAUUUUAUUUUUUUACCAACAGUGCCACCCCAUCCCCUCUGGCAACCUGCUAAUCCAUUUGAUACUUUGUGUAGACUUGGAUGUUAACCUCCCAACUAUGACCUUCUUUCAGCCACGAAUCAGUUAUGCCACAACGUUAUACCUGAUGUUUUCUGUUUCUUCUUGGUAGAGAAGCCAAGAAUAUUCUCACAGGUUCAAACUUAAAUUUGAAUCAAAUUUAAGUUGUGCUGUGAUGGUGAGAGAGACUGGAAUCUGACCAUUCUCCAUAUAAAAUGCCAACACAUAAACAAUGAGAAAGUUAAAUUGUGAUAGAGACAAAUUUAAUUUAGUCAAUAGAGAAUGGAUUUCAAUACUUUGAUGACUGAUGAUCUCAGGUAAAUGAAAAAAUACCACAAACUACACCUUCAAAUUUGAGAAACAUCAGAAUUUAAAAUAGUUUCCUUUGGUAUACCAUAUCUUCAGAACACAGAGGGUUAGUUUUCAUUUCAUUUUGUACUGAUUGCUACUAUACAAUCUGAGUGCGUCAAUUAUACAAUAAAACAGAAAUGACUGUGUUGAUAUAUCUAGUACACAAAACAACUAUCUAUUACAGAGGCUCGUUAGAUUUAUGCUCAGUUAGUUUCAGUGGUGUUGCAAUCUUCUAAACUUACAAUUGAAUGAAAAAGCACAUCUUUCCCUCCCCCCACUUUCUGCUGGGAUCACUCCCUACGCGACUCCCUUGUCCAUUCGUUCCUCCCCACUGAUCUCCCUCUUGGCACUUAUCCUUGCAAACAGAACAAGUGCUACACCUCCUCCUUCACUACUAUUCAGGGCCCCAAACACUCCUUCCAGGUGAGGUGACACUUUAUCUGUGAGUCUGUUGGGUCAUAGACAGUGUCCGGUGUUCUCAGUGUGGUCUCUUGUAUAUCGGUGAGACUCAGCAUAGAUUGGGAGACCACUUUGCUGAGCACCUUUGCUCCAUCUGCCACAAAAAGCAGGAUUUCUCGGUGGCCACCCAUUUCAAAUCUACUUCCCAUUCCCAUUGCGACAUAUUAGUCCAUGGCCUCCUCUACUGCCGCGAUGGGUCCACACUGAGGUUGGGGGAGCAACACCUUAUAUUCUGUCUGGAUAGCCUCCAACCUGAUGGCAUGUAUGAAUUUCCGAUUAUUACCCACAACCCCCUCUACAUCACUGUUUUCCACUCCUGUUUCUCUUUCACCUUAUCUCCUUACUUGCCUAUCACCUUCCACUGGUGCUCCUCCUCCUUCCCUUUCUUCCAUGAUCUUCUGUCCUCACUUAUCAGAUUCCCCCUUUUCCAGCCCUUUAUCUCUUUCACCAAUCAACUUCUCAGCUCAUUACUUCACCUUCUCCCUCUCUCCCAGUUUCACCUAUCACCUGCCAGCUUGUACUUCUUCCUCCCCUCCGCCCACAUUCUUAUUCUUCCCCUUUCCUCUCCGGUCCUCAUGAAGGGUCUUGGCCCGAAACAUCGACUGUUUACUCCCAUUCAUUGAUGCUGCCUGACUGGUUGAGCUCCUCCUGUUCACUGUGUGCAUUCCUCUAAUUUCCAGCAUCUGCAGUACUUGCUGUGUCUAUGAAAAACUCAGUUAUCUUUACUGCUUGUGAUUGGUCGAAUCUGUGGUCAAACUAACUACCCGAAUUGACUGCUGGGUGGCUAGUUAAAUGAUGGACUGGAGGUAACAUCGUGCUUGUGAAGCUAAAUGUCCUGUGAGAGCUGUAUGAUCUGAUGUCUUUAGGAAGGGGGGUUGUUAAUAUAGUUGCAUAAAAUCAUACAAAUAUGAGCAACAAGCUAUAUAAUUAGGGGAUUGGCAGCAAUUGAAAUUACCUUCAUAAAAAUAUAGCUUGAUGCUAUUUUUUGGCAUUGAAAGGACUCAUUUUCAAAACAAAGUAUUAGCCAAUGAGUGCCUUUCCAGACAUUAAAGCCAUUUUAUUGCAGCAUUAUAUUAAGAGCUCCCUAGGUAAUCACACAUACAUACACUUUAAUUCAAGUAAACAACUAUUUCAGUUUUGUUGAAAGGAGUUAUUGAUUUCAGAACACAUUUUAGAGGCAUAACAUUAAAUAGUGCAAAAUACUGACUAUUUUUAAGGUGAUGGUUAUUCUUCUGUUUUUAAUCUGUCAUGGGCAUUGAUUGCUGGCAGCAACUGAAGUUGCAUCUAUCCACACUGCAAUAAAUUGCUGAAUUUUCCAGCUCGUAUGGUGGCUCUGUCAAAAUGAUCGGAGAUGUUUCUUAUUAAUGUGUGUUCCCAAAUGUUUAAUGGCUAAACCAGCAGAAAGACACUGUGGCACUUUGUUAAGAUUUAAUCUAGAGUUUGAAGCACAUUUGUCCAACAUUUCUAUCCUGUGUUGUGGUUAGAAGAAAGGGUCCUGAUGUAAGUUAACAGAACCACAGAAUCUUCAUUUUCACAGCACCUUAUCAAGUCUCCAGGAUAUCUUAAACCAUUUUGAAGUAAACAAACCCAGUGAAAUAUUUUUAAAAGGUAGUUAUGGCUGUAACUGUAGUGAGAAAUUUCCACUUAACAUGACCCCACUAACACAGUAAUCUGAUUUAUUGAUUUUGAGAUAAAUAUUGGUAAGAAUGUUUGGAAUGAUUUGGCAGGGUGCUCACUAUUCAUAGAUGGUUUGUAAUUGCAAUUUGCCCGCCAAAUUCCUGAUGGUGAUGGGUAGGUUCAGCCUUUAGUAGGCUCCGUACCAGUUGUCGAUGAUUGUCUCACAUGGGAGGUUAUGAAACUGACUCCCACAUACACUAAUGAUGUACCAUGCUUGUUUCUCCCAGGUGGUUGAACUAUAACCUUUUGUUGGGGGAGGAGAGUAUCUCAAUACUAAUUCUUUGUCUCAAAUAAGGACACCAAGGUCUUACAUUUCAGUCAUCUGGGAUAAAGGAAAUAUUCAACAAACUAUAGUACUGUGCAAAAGUCUUAGGCACAUCUAUAUAGCUAGGGCGCCUAAGACUUUUUCAAAGUACUGUAAUAAUUUUAUGUAUUGCACUGCACUGCUGCCACAUAUACAAAAAACAAAUUUCAUGACAUGUGUGAGUGAUGAUUUUGAUAUGGGUCUCUAUUGUGGUCUGAGAGUGGGAAGGGGACAGGGAGAGGGAAAUCAUAGUUGGGAAAAGGGGAAGGGAGAGUUGGACAGUGCUUCACCCUGGAUCCUGACCCGGAUCUGGGCCGGACCCUCCAAAUAUCCGGACCUGCCUCUCGGUUUUUUUGCACUACCUUACUUUCCAUUUUUCUAUUUUCUAUUUAUGAUUUAUAAUUUAAAUUUUUAAUAUUUACUACUUUUUACUAUUUUAAAUAUUUUAAAUAUUUAAUAUUUGUAAUCCAGGGAGUGGAAAGUGCAGAAUUAAAUAUCGCUGUGAUGAUUGUACGUUCUAGUAUCAAUUGUUUGGCGACAAUAAAAUAUAAAGUAAAGUCUUGUGUAACUGGAUCCUGGACUUCCUGUCAGAUCGCUGGCAGGUGGUAAGAGUGGGCUCCCUCACCUCUGCCCCUCUGACCAGCAACACAGGUGCCCCUCAGGGCCGUGUACUAAGCCUCCUCCUUUACUCUCCGCAUACCCAUGACUAUGACUACCCAAGAAUAGAUGGAGAAGUGAGUCAGUUUACGAAAAUCAAGAGAGGCGUUAGACUAGGGUGUGUUUUCUCCCCUGAUUUGUUUAAUGUGUACAGUGAAACAAUGUUACAAAAAAUAAGAGACAUCUUGGGAAUCAAAGUUAGCGGUGAAAACAUUAAUAAUUUCAGAUAUGCGGCUGACACUGUGUUAAUUGCAAGUACGGAGGAAGAACUACAAAACUUAAUUGAUACAGUUGUUGAAGAAGAUGCAAAAAUGGGUCUAUUUAUCAAUUGUAAAAAGACAGAAUGUAUGGUGAUAUCCAAAAAGAAGGAGAAUCCUAUCUGCAGGUUGAAAAUAAAUGGGGAAGACAUAAAACAAGUACAGAACUUUUGCUACUUAGGAAGCUGGGUGACAUCAGAUGGCAGGUGCGACUUGGACAUCAAAAGAAGAAUAGGGAUGGCAAAAGACACCUUUACGAGAAUGAAGAGUAUACGGACCAACACUAAACUAGGCAUGACAACCCACCUCAGAGUACUGAAAUAUUACGUUUAUCCAGUUAUGUUAUAUGAAUUAGAAUGUUAGACAAUAUCUAGUAACAUGAGGAAAUGAGUUGAAGCAGCAGUGAUGUGAUUUUUGAGGAGGAUGCAAAGAAUAUCAUGGACAAAAUGAAUAUCUAAUGAGUGUGUCAUGAACAGAGCAAACAUAAAGAGAAAUAAUGUAUGAGAUCAUGAAAAGGCAAUGUAACUUCAUUGGACAUGUGAUUAGGAAAAAGGAGUUUGAAUGCACGGUAAUUAUGGGAAAGAUUGAAGGGAAGAAAGCAAAAGGAAGGCAAAGACAAAUGAUGAUGGAGACAGCAGCCAGCGAAUUGGAAAUGAAUACCAAUGAAUUGAUCCACUUGACCCAAGACAGGAGUGUGUGGGCCAUGGCAGUCAAAGCUCAAACUGGGCAUGACUGUGUUGCCAUCCACAGCUCCAACCUGCUAAGUACAUUUGCUGAUGACACUACACUGAUUGGCCUAAUCUCAAAUAAUAAUGAGGCAGCCUACAGAGAAGAAGUCAUCACCCUGAUAUAGUGGUGUCAAGGAAACAACCUCUUCCUCAAUGUCACAAGAACAAAGGAGCUGGUUGUGGACUACAGGAGGAAUGGAGACAGGCUUGCCCCUAUUAACAUCAAUGGAUCUGGGGUUGAGAGGGUGAACAGCUUUAGAUUCCUCGGCAUUCACAUCACUGAGGAUCUCACGCGGUCUGUAUAUACCAGUUGUGUGGUGAAAAAGGCACAACAGUGCCUCUUUCACCUCAGAUGGUUGAAGAAGUUUGGUAUGUGUCCCAAAAUCCUAAGAACUUUCUAUAGGGGCACAUUUGAGAGUAUCCUGACUGGCUGCAUCACUGCCUGGUAUGGGAACUGUACUUUCUUCAAUCGCAGGACUCUGCAGAGAGUGGUGUGGACAGCCCAGCGCAUCUAUAGAUGUGAACUUCCCGCUAUUCAGGACAUUUACAAAGACAGGUGUGUAAAAAGGGCCUGAAGGAUCAUUGGGGACCCGAGUCACACCAACCACAAACUGUUCCAGCUGCUACCAUCCAGGAAAUGAUACGGCAGCAUAAAAGCCAGGACCAACAGGCUCCGGGACAGCUUCUUCCACCAGGCCAUCAGACUGAUUAACUCAUGCUGACGCAACUGUAUUUCUAUGUUAUAUUGCCUGUCCUGUUGUAUAUACUGUUCAUUAUAAAUUACUAUAAAUUGUAUAUUGCACAUUUGAACGGUGACGUAACGUAAAGAUUUUUACUCCUCAUGUAUACGAAGGAUGCAAGUAAUAAAGUCAAUUCAAUUCAACUCAAUGAUCUUUGUGGCUGAAAGAUCCAGCAGAGCCUGGAGCACUGCCUGCUAAUCCAAUGGCUGGGGGUUUAAGCUCCCAGUGAUGUGACAAGGGAUCUGAUUCAUCAGUGGGUGGAAGAUCAACAGUCUGUUGAUCACUGAAGGUGUUUGUUAAUUUCUGAGCAGAUACAAGGUCUCAGUGGCUACUCCGGUGACAAGUCUGCAGUGUAGGUGAGCCAGCUCCAGAGCUUUUCCUCAAAGGGCAAUACUA